rnacentral:rRNA from 1 species
GGAUGAACGCUGGCGGCGUGCCUAAUACAUGCAAGUCGAGCGAACGGACGAGAAGCUUGCUUCUCUGAUGUUAGCGGCGGACGGGUGAGUGACACGUGGAUAACCUACCUAUAAGACUGGGAUAACUUCGGGAAACCGUAGCUAAUACCGGAUAAUAUUUUGAACCGCAUGGUUCAAAAGUGAAAGACGGUCUUGCUGUCACUUAUAGAUGGAUCCGCGCUGCAUUAGCUAGUUGGUAAGGUAACGGCUUACCAAGGCAACGAUGCAUAGCCGACCUGAGAGGGUGAUCGGCCACACUGGAACUGAGACACGGUCCAGACUCCUACGGGAGGCAGCAGUAGGGAAUCUUCCGCAAUGGGCGAAAGCCUGACGGAGCAACGCCGCGUGAGUGAUGAAGGUCUUCGGAUCGUAAAACUCUGUUAUUAGGGAAGAACAUAUGUGUAAGUAACUGUGCACAUCUUGACGGUACCUAAUCAGAAAGCCACGGCUAACUACGU